rnacentral:rRNA from 1 species
AAUGAACGUUGGCGGCGUGGAUUAGGCAUGCAAGUCGAGCGGUAGGAGUUCACUCACCCGGCGCACAUAGCCCCGCCCUCCGGGCUGGGGAUUGUGUGUUCCAGGUGAGUGGACUCUGAGAGCGGCGAAAGGGAGAGUAACGCGUAGUUACGUACCCCGAGGACCGGAAUAGCCACGGGAAACUGUGGGUAAUGCCGGAUAAUGUCUUCGGACCAAAGGUGUGAUUCCACCUUGGGAGCGGACUGCGUUGUACUAGCUUGUUGGUAGGGUAAUGGCCUACCAAGGCUAUGAUGCAUAGCGGGUGUGAGAGCAUGACCCGUCUCACUGGGACUGAGACACUGCCCAGACACCUACGGGUGGCUGCAGUCGAGAAUCUUCGGCAAUGAGCGCAAGCUUGACCGAGCGACGCCGCGUGCGGGAUGAAGGCCUUCGGGUUGUAAACCGCGAAAGUAGGGAGGAAGUCGGUGGGGGUUCUCCCCCAUUGUUGACCGAUCUACAGUAAGGACGGGCUAAGUACGUGCCAGCCGCCGCCGUAACAC